GAUGAACGCUAGCGGCAGGCCUAACACAUGCAAGUCGAGGGGUAACUAGAGUGAUAGCAAUAUUACUUUGGCUAGACCGGCGCACGGGUGCGUAACACGUAUGCAACCUACCUUAUACUGGGGAAUAACUUCGAGAAAUCGGCGCUAAUACCCCAUAACAUUGCGAAGAGGCAUCUCUUUGCAAUUAAAGCUCCGGCGGUAUAAGAUGGGCAUGCGUCCAAUUAGCUAGUUGGUGAGGUAACGGCUCACCAAGGCUACGAUUGGUAGGGGUUCUGAGAGGAUGAUCCCCCACACUGGUACUGAGACACGGACCAGACUCCUACGGGAGGCAGCAGUGAGGAAUAUUGCGCAAUGGACGAAAGUCUGACGCAGCCAUGCCGCGUGCAGGAUGACGGCCCUAUGGGUUGUAAACUGCUUUUGUACGGGAAUAAACCCUUCUACGUGUAGGAGGCUGAAGGUACCGUAAGAAUAAGCACCGGCUAACUCCGUGCCAGCCGCCGCCGUAAGAC
rnacentral:rRNA from 1 species